rnacentral:rRNA from 1 species
UACGGAGGGUGCAAGCGUUGUUCGGAAUUACUGGGCGUAAAGCGUGCGCAGGCGGUUUGUUAAGUCCGUUGUGAAAGCCCCGAGCUCAACUUGGGAAUUGCAGUGGAUACUGGCAGGCUGGAGUACGGUAGAGGAAGGUGGCAUUCCCGGUGUAGCAGUGAAAUGCGUAGAUAUCGGGAGGAACACCAGUGGCGAAGGCGGCCUUCUGGACCGGUACUGACGCUCAUGCACGAAAGCGUGGGGAGCAAACAGG